GAUGAACGCUGGCGGCGUGCCUAAUACAUGCAAGUCGAGCGAACGGACGAGAAGCUUGCUUCUCUGAUGUUAGCGGCGGACGGGUGAGUAACACGUGUAUAACCUACCUAUAAGACUGGGAUAACUUCGGGAAACCGUAGCUAAUACCGGAUAAUAUUUUGAACCGCAUGGUUCAAAAGUGAAAGACGGUCUUGCUGUCACUUAUAGAUGGAUCCGCGCUGCAUUAGCUAGUUGGUAAGGUAACGGCUUACCAAGGCGACGAUGCAUAGCCGACCUGAGAGGGUGAUAGCCGGCACUGGAACGGAGCCACGGACCAGGCGCCUACGGUAGGCAGCAGUAGGGUAUGUUCCGCAAUGGGCGAAAGCAUUACGGAGCGAGGCCGCGUGAGUGAUGAAGGUCUUCGGAUCGUAAAACUCUGUUAUUAGGGAAGAACAUAUGUGUAAGUAACUGUGCACAUCUUGACGGUACCUAAUCAAAAAGCCACGGCUAACUACGUG
rnacentral:rRNA from 1 species